rnacentral:rRNA from 1 species
UAGCUCAACUAUUAGGCUAUCGGGGGAUACUGCCAGACUUGGAACCGGGAGAGGUAAGAGGUACUACAGGGGUAGGAGUGAAAUCUUGUAAUCCCUGUGGGACCACCUGUGGCGAAGGCGUCUUACCAGAACGGGUUCGACGGUGAGGGACGAAAGCUGGGGGCACGAACCGGAUUAGAUACCCGGGUAGUCCCAGCCGUAAACGAUGCUCGCUAGGUGUCAGGCAUGGCGCGACCGUGUCUGGUGCCGCAGGGAAGCCGUGAAGCGAGCCACCUGGGAAGUACGGCCGCAAGGCUGAAACUUAAAGGAAUUGGCGGGGGAGCACAACAACGGGUGGAGCCUGCGGUUUAAUUGGACUCAACGCCGGACAACUCACCGGGGGCGACCGCAAUAUGUAGGCCAAGCUGAAGACUUUGCCUGAAUCGCUGAGAGGAGGUGCAUGGCCGUCGCCAGUUCGUACUGUGAAGCAUCCUGUUAAGUCAGGCAACGAGCGAGACCCGUGCCCACUGUUACCAGCAUGUCCUCCGGGACGAUGGGUACUCUGUGGGGACCGCCGAUGUUAAAUCGGAGGAAGGUGCGGGCCACGGUAGGUCGGUAUGCCCCGAAUCUCCCGGGCUACACGCGGGCUACAAUGGAUGGGACAAUGGGUCCCUACCCCGAAAGGGGUUGGUAAUCUCACAAACCCAUUCGUAGUUCGGAUCGAGGGCUGUAACUCGCCCUCGUGAAGCUGGAAUCCGUAGUAAUCGCGUUUCAAUAUAGCGCGGUGAAUACGUC